rnacentral:rRNA from 1 species
UACAGAGGGUGCGAGCGUUAAUCGGAAUUACUGGGCGUAAAGCGUGCGUAGACGGUAGCGUAAGUCAGAUGUGAAAGCCCCGGGCUCAACCUGGGAACUGCAUUUGAGACUGCUCUGCUCGGGUGCGGAAGAGGGAAGCGGAAUUUCCGGUGUAGCGGUGAAAUGCGUAGAUAUCGGAAGGAACACCAGUGGCGAAAGCGGCUUCCUGGUCCGACACCGACGUUCAGGCACGAAAGCGUGGGGGGCAAACAGG